rnacentral:lncRNA from 1 species
UGAAAUUUUGUAGGUUUAUGGUUAUAGUUGUGUUUAAUAUGUAUUAUGAAUUUGAGAUUGAUCUAACGGUUGAAUUGAGGAAUAUUGAGGUUUAAGUGGGUCAAGAUCUCAGAAAGUAGAAUUUUAAGUUCAAUAGGAAUUUUUGAGAUUUCUUGCAAUCUAUUGGUUGGAUUGGAGUGAAACUUAUGUGAGAGGAUAUUAAACUUGUUUUUCUAUGUGUAUGAGGAUUUUGAGAUCAAUCGAAUAGUACAAAAGAGAGAUAUUGGCUCUAGAAGAUUGGCAUCAAGAUUGGAGAAGGAGGCCGGCCAAUAUCCGAGCAUAUUUUUGAAGAUAUCGUCAAUUUGGUAACUCCGAUCCUUAUCAAUUUUUUUGUACUUGUUUUUAACUUAUUUGUUUUAGAAGUAUGAAAAAUUUGAGUUAAGAUCAACGGUUUAUUCAUUAGUUAUUGAAGUUUAAAUCUGUUAUAGGAAUUAUUAGGAUUUGGUUUAGGAUUUGUUUAGGAUUUGAUUUGGGAUUUAGGAUUUGGAUUAGGGUUUGAUUUAGGAUUUAGGGUUUCAUUAGGAUUUUAUUUAGGGUUUAUGGUUUGGAUUAGGAUUUGGUUUAGGGUUUAGAAUUUGGAUAGGAUUUGAUUUAGGGUUUAGGAUUUGGAUUAGGAUUUGGUUAGGGUUUGAUUUAGGGUUUAGGAUUUGGUUUAGGGUUUGAUUUGGAUUUGGUUUAGGAUUUGGUUGGAGUUUGAUUUAGGAUUUAGGAUUUUAUUAGGAUUUAAGAUUCAAUUAGUUUUGGCCUAAAGUUUGAAUGAAGUUCAAUAGGAUUUUAACUAGAAUUAAAUUAAGAUUGAAUUGAGAUGUAUUUGAAUGACAUUUGUGCUCUUUCUAAUGUUUCUUUAAAAAUUCCUAUUGUUUAUUUGAAAUUUCUUUGAGGUUUUUUUAAAUUUGAUUAAACUUGCUUAGUAUUAUUAUAAUCUAAUUAAAGCAUUGUUAGUAUUCUAUUAGAAUUAGGAUUUUGUUAUUGCAAUUUCCAUUCUUCCUUCUACAGCCAGGUGCCCGGAGCAUUCUCAUGCAAGACUUCACGUAUUACGAUGCCGCCAUUAAUUGACUUGUUCAUCUCCUGCCAAGUCUUUAUUCUUAAUGCCUUUUAAAUAAUUGAUUGUUACAUGCAAUGGCUCAAGCAAUAAAUUGUUCCAAAAAUACUAUUUUUGAUAUUAUUAAUAACCAAUAUUUGACACUAUCCUUUAAUCUAUAUCAAAAUUUAUUG